rnacentral:rRNA from 1 species
GUGAGGAAUAUUGGUCAAUGGGCGAGAGCCUGAACCAGCCAUGCCGCGUGCAGGAAGACGGCCUUCUGGGUUGUAAACUGCUUUUAUACGGGAGCAAAAAGACCCUGCGGGGUAAAUUGAGAGUAUCGUAUGAAUAAGCACCGGCUAACUCCGUGCCAGCAGCCGCGGUAAUACGGAGGGUGCAAGCGUUGUCCGGAUUUAUUGGGUUUAAAGGGUGCGUAGGCGGCGUAAUAAGUCAGUGGUGAAAGCCGGCAGCUCAACUGUCGAGGUGCCAUUGAAACUGUUAUGCUUGAGUACAGACGAGGUAGGCGGAAUUUAUGAUGUAGCGGUGAAAUGCAUAGAUAUCAUAAAGAACACCGAUAGCGAAGGCAGCUUACUAGGCUGUAACUGACGCUGAGGCACGAAAGCGUGGGGAGCGAACAGG